GCCUGUCCCCUGUCAUU
rnacentral:misc_RNA from 1 species